rnacentral:rRNA from 1 species
GCCAAACCCUCUCGUCAAAGCCUGAUCUUGUCUGAUCUCAGAAGAUAAACGGGACUGGGCCUGGUCAGUUCUUGGACGGGAGACCACUGGGAAAAACAGGUGC